CUUAAGCGGGUAACGUAAAUUAGUCUGAUGUGAAAGCCCCCGGCUCAACCGGGAGGGUCAUUGAACUGUUUACUCGAGUACAGGAGAGGAGAGUGGAAUUCCAUGUGUAGCGGUGAAAUGCGCACAGAUAGGAGGAACACCAGUGGCGAAGGCGGCUGUAUGGUCUGUAACUGACGCUGAGGUGCGAAAGCGUGGGGAUCAAACAGGAUUAGAUACCCUGGUAGUACACGCCGUAAACGAUGAGUGCUACGUGUUGGGGUGUGUCCGCCCCUCAGUGCCGCAGCUAACGCAUUAAGCACUCCGCGUGGGGAGUACGACCGCAAGGUUGAAACUCAAAGGAAUUGACGGGGAGCCGCACAAGCGGUGGAGCAUGUGGUUUAAUUCGAAGCAACGCGAAGAACAUUACCAAAUCUUGACAUCCUCUGACAUCCAUAGAGAUAUGGUUUCCCUUCGGGGCAGAGUGACAGGUGGUGCAUGGUUGUCGUCAGAUGGCGUCUUGAGAUGUUGGGUUAAGUCCCGCAACGAGCGCAACCCUUAAGUUUAGUUGCCAUCAUUAAGUUGGGCACUCUAGACUGACUGCCGGUGACAAACCGGAGGAAGGUGGGGACGACGUCAAAUCAUCAUGCCCCUUAUGAUUUGGGCUACACACGUGCUACAAUGGACAGGUUACAAAGGGCAGCGACGCCGCGAGGCCAAGCGAAUCCCAUAAAACUGUUCUCAGUUCGGAUUGGAGUCUGCAACUCGACUCCAUGAAGCUGGAAUCGCUAGUAAUCGUAGAUCAGCAUGCUACGGUGAAUACGUUCCCGGGUCUUGUACACACCGCCCGUCACACCACGAAAGUCGAUAACACCUGAAGCCGGUGGGCCAACCUUUAUGGAGGCAGCCGUCGAAUGGUGGGAUUGAUGUUUAAGUGAAGUAUGCAUCAACGAAAGCAGCCAA
rnacentral:rRNA from 1 species